rnacentral:rRNA from 1 species
UACGGAGGGUGCAAGCGUUGUUCGGAAUCACUGGGCGUAAAGGGCGUGUAGGCGGCCUGUUAAGUCUGAUGUGAAAUCCCCUCGCUCAACGAGGGAACUGCGUCGGAAACUGGCAGGCUUGAGUACCGGAGAGGAAGGUGGAAUUCCCGGUGUAGCGUGAAAUGCGUAGAUAUCGGGAGGAACACCGGUGGCGAAGGCGGCCUUCUGGACGGAUACUGACGGCUGAUACGCGAAAGCGUGGGGAG